AUCUUCUGCUGCGGUGCCAAAUUCCCCAAUGGGAUGGCAUCCAUGUGUUCUUAAGUCUGUCCGGUGCCACGCCACCCCCAACAGGCUCAGGCUAGGGGGAGCAGAAAGAUGGAGCAGAAAAAGAUUAUUGAAGAUUGAAGACAAAACUUUUGGUCUAAAGAAUCAGAAAGGAGGAGCAAAGCAAAAGAACUUUAUCAAGGCCUUCGGUCAAGUUAAAUUAAAAUCUACGUCAGGUAGUACAAUGUGAAGCUGAAGAGAAACUGAAGAAAGAUGAUAGCAGGAGUUAAACGAGCUGUUCAAACCUGUAGUUGCUGCUCAGAAAAUAAGUAAAGUUGCAGAUCCCAAAUCCGUGGUUUGUGGCUUCUUCAAGCAAGGACUGUACUGAAGGAGAAUCAACAGGAUGUCAUUUCCCAAGCUGAUUCUGGAGGGCUUACUCUCCUCUACAAAAGGAAUAUUCUCCCUAUGUCUUCUCUUCUGACUUCUGACAUCUUGCAGGUGAAGUGUGGAACAGUCCACAAUAUACUAAAUCAUGAGUCCUCAGUGAAUGCCUAUGGAUGUGGAUUGCCUGGGCUGGUAAAGACGCGAGCACUUCAUUUAAGGGGCCCAGUGGAUUCGUGACAAUGGACAACCCUACGAAGCCUCCUAUGAUUCUCCUCAUGAUUCUGGGACCACCUGUUGGGCUGCAGAACUCAGGCUCAACAGUUCUCUGUGGCUACCAUUUGGCUUUUGCUCUGUGGAGAACAGAUCACCCUGAGGAUAAGCAGGAUGUUUUAAAAGCCUCAUUCUUGUUUCUUAAAUGUCUUCAUGUGCUAAAGGAACAUUUAAAAAUAAAAACAGACAUUCGUUUCUCAACGGUCACAGUUCAAAAUGGCAUGUACAAGUCUUCCUGUGGUCAGUUUGGAAACUCAAAUAGCUUUUCAUGUUGCUUUUUAAACAGAAAAGUAAUUUGUAAAUGAAGGAAAGCCUUUGGCAUUCCAAAAGUGACCCUGAGUUCUGGCCCCUGGGGAGUACCAUCAAACAGCUUCCAUCUAGCAGGAUUGAAAGAACUGAGUGGGAACAUGGCCUAUGCCAAAGACCCACUUUGCAGAUGUGCUUCAAUUCCGGCUACUGAGGAAAAUUAGAGAGCGCGAUAUAUCUUUGGCAUUUCUUCCUCUGUGGUGCAGUGGAAAAGAACAUAGGCUCUGGAGUCAGAGAGACCUGGAUUUUUAUUGUAGCUCCAUCAUUAAUUAUCUGAGGGACCUUGGACAAUUAUUUUAGCCCCUGAACCUCGGUUUCCUCGUGACUAACAAAGGAGUUUUGAUGACUGCAGGAGGUGAUUUGCAUAUACAAUGAGUAUUUAAAUUUUAAAUAUAACAUUUUUAAUAUUUAAAUUGUAAAUUCAUUAUGGUAAAAGACACACAUUGGCACAUUGUCAUUAAUCCUCUUCAAAAUACUCCCUCUAGCUAUGAACACACUUUUCCCCCAUUAUUCUU
ensembl:lncRNA